rnacentral:rRNA from 1 species
GUAGGUGGCAAGCGUUGUCCGGAAUUAUUGGGCGUAAAGCGCGCGCAGGCGGGUCCUUUAAGUCUGAUGUGAAAGCCCACGGGCUCAACCGUGGAGGGUCAUUGGAAACUGGGGGACUUGAGUACAGAAGAGGAAAGCGGAAUUCCAAGUGUAGCGGUGAAAUGCGUAGAGAUUUGGAGGAACACCAGUGGCGAAGGCGGCUUUCUGGUCUGUAACUGACGCUGGGGCGCGAAAGCGUGGGGAGCAAACAGGAUUAGAUACCCUGGUAGUCCACGCCGUAAACGAUGAGUGCUAAGUGUUAGGGGGUUUCCGCCCCUUAGUGCUGCAGCUAACGCAUUAAGCACUCCGCCUGGGGAGUACGGCCGCAAAGGCUGA